rnacentral:tRNA from 1 species
CAAGAAAUAGUUUAAAGUAAAAUAUUAAUUUUGGAAAUUAAAUAUCAAUUAUUAAUUUUUUCUUGA